rnacentral:lncRNA from 1 species
UCUGAAACUGCAAGUGCUUUGACACAGACUCUCCUCAAUUAGAGGCCUGUUCAGUGCCUAGCAUAACAGGUCUACAACAUAGCUGGUGCCUCUGAGCCCUACUGUAAUAAAUGAUUUGGAAUGUAAGCCUGAAGAUGGCACCAGUUGUAGGACUGCUACAGGUCCCGAUGAGGAAAAGGGAAUUGAAGCUUUUGGAUCCGAGCUAUUCUGAACCUUGAAACUCUGCAGGAAUAGGUGUAUCUUAGCAGUCCUUUCACAGGCCCAAGGACUGGAAAGCGGUGAAUGGAGAGGACAGACCGUGGAUCUUCAUCCAGCAUCAACAGAAGGGAAGCAUCAUUUGGGCAGGAGAGUGUCUGGAGGUUGGUGGGAUCAUCUGUGCUCUCCUUUGGUCACAGAAAGAUGGAGAAACGCCAUUAAGCUGAUUUGUUCAGGCAGCCACAUGCAAGAUGGAAACCCAGAAAAAACAAGGAAAUGAGAAGUUGCCAUUCUUAACAGU